rnacentral:rRNA from 1 species
GUGAACAAUUAAGGGCGCGCGGUGGAUGCCUAGGCUCUCGGAGGCGAAGAAGGACGCGAUAAGCCGCGAUAGUCCACGGCGAGGUGCAAGUAACCCUUGACCCGUGGGUUUCCGAAUGGGGCAACCCGGCCGUCUAGAUGACGGUCAUGCAUUAUCAUGCAGGCGAACGCGGGGAACUGAAACAUCUCAUUACCCGCAGGAGAAGAAAACAAAAUGUGAUUCCCCCAGUAGUGGCGAGCGAACGGGGAAGAGCCCAAACCGCUGCCGUUUCGGCGACAGCGGGGUCAUGGGACCACGCCAUUCGAAACAAGAUGAAGUGCAAUUACCUGGAAAGGUAAGCCGCGGAGGGUGAUAGCCCCGUGCACGUCAAUUCUUGUGGAGAUAGUGGAAUCCCGAGUAGGGCGGGACACGAGAAAUCCUGCCUGAAUUCGCCAGGACCUCCUGGCAAGGCUAAAUACUCCCGAGAGACCGAUAGUGAACCAGUACCGCGAGGGAAAGGUGAAAAGUACCCCGAGCAGGGGGGUGAAAUAGACCCUGAACCCGCGCGCCUACAAGCGGUCGGAGCUGCCUUGUGCAGUGACGGCGUGCCUUUUGCAUAAUGAGCCUACGAGUUAGUCGUCACCAGCGAGGUUAAGGGCUUCAGGCCCGUAAGCCGAAGUGAAAGCGAGCCUUAACAGGGCGUUAAGUUGGUGGCGCUAGACGCGAAACCUUGUGAUCUACCCACGAGCAGGUUGAAGUCGCGGUAACACGUGAUGGAGGACCGAACCGGUAAACGUUGAAAAGUUUUCGGAUGACUCGCGGGUAGGGGUGAAAGGCCAAUCAAACUGGGAAAUAGCUCGUACUCUCCGAAAUGCAUUUCGGUGCAGCCUGUGAUGUUCUGUUCCAGAGGUAGAGCUACUGGUUGGACGCGAGGGCUUCACCGCCUAUCAAAUCCGGAUAAACUCCGAAUGCUGGAACACGAAAUCAUGGAGUGAGCCCGCGGGUGCUAAGGUCCGCGGACGAGAGGGAAAGAACCCGGACCACCGGCUAAGGUCCCGGAUGGACAGUUAAGUUGAUCAAACGAGGUGGGAUCGCUGAGACAGCUAGGAUGUUGGCUUGGAAGCAGCCAUUCAUUUAAAGAGUGCGUAACAGCUCACUAGUCGAGCGAUCCCGCGUGGAUAAUACACGGGCAUCAAACUGUCAACCGAAGCCGUGGGGUUAGCUUGAUGGCUAACCGGUAGGAGAGCAUUCCUGCCAGCGUUGAAGGUCACCCGCGAGAGUGACUGGAGCGGCAUGAAAAGCAAAUGUAGGCAUAAGUAACGAUAAUGGGGGCGAGAACCCCCCACGCCGCAAGACCAAGGCUUCCCCGGCAAUGUCAAUCAGCCGGGGGUCAGCCGGCCUCUAAGGCUAACCCGAACGGGGAUGCCGACGAGAAACGGGUUAACAUUCCCGUGCUUCUCGUCACCGUGACGCGGUGACGGGGUGAUGAAUGGACCGCGCGCUGACGGAAUAGCGCGUUGAAGGCCGUACCCUUCGAGGGUGGUAGUCAAGCACGCCACCCGAGGCGAUAGCCGAUAGUACCACGAGACUCCGGUCGAGUGGAUAGCGUCCAGGCAAUUUACCCCCGAGAAAACCCGCUAAACUUCAAGUGACGAGGAACCGUACUGUAAACGGACACACGUGGUCGGGUAGAACAUACCAAGGCGCUCGAGUGAUUCAUGGUCAAGGAACUAGGCAAAAUAGUCCUGUAACUUCGGGAAAAAGGACGCUCUAGUGAUAGAGCCGCAGAGUAAUGGCCCAGGCGACUGUUUACCAAAAACACAUGGCUAUGCCAAAUCGAAAGAUGACGUAUAUGGCCUGACACCUGCCCGGUGCCGGAAGGUUAAGAGGAGAGCUCAUCGGAAACGAGAAGGUUUGAAUUGAAGCCCCGGUAAACGGCGGCCGUAACUAUAACGGUCCUAAGGUAGCGAAAUUCCUUGUCGGGUAAGUUC